rnacentral:rRNA from 1 species
UUGACCUCGGAUCAGGUAGGACUACCCGCUGAACUUAAGCAUAUCAAUAAGCGGAGGAAAAGAAACCAACAGGGAUUGCCCCAGUAACGGCGAGUGAAGCGGCAACAGCUCAGAUUUGGAAUCUGGCCCCCAGGGCCCGAGUUGUAAUCUGGAGAGGAUGCUUCUGGCGCGGCGCCUUCCGAGUUCCCUGGAACGGGACGCCGGAAAGGGUGAGAGCCCCGUACGGUUGGACGCCUAGCCUUUGUGAAGCUCCUUCGACGAGUCGAGUAGUUUGGGAAUGCUGCUCAAAAUGGGAGGUAAAUUUCUUCUAAAGCUAAAUACCGGCCAGAGACCGAUAGCGCACAAGUAGAGUGAUCGAAAGAUGAAAAGCACUUUGAAAAGAGGGUCAAACAGUACGUGAAAUUGUUGAAAGGGAAG